rnacentral:lncRNA from 1 species
AUAACACACACUUUAUUUAAAUCAUUCUUCUUUUCCAUUUCAUUUACUUCUCCAUUACUAUUAUACAAUCCUUAUUAUUAGUUAUAUUAUUUUUCAAAUUAACUUGUUGGUAUUUGUAUUAAUAGUUUUGUUGAUUCCUGUAUUCUCUAAAUAUUUAGAGAAGUGCUUGUUUAAUUCUGGGCAAACAUUUCACGCUGCUAAAAUAGUUUUUUAGGAUAGUGCCCAGCACGACUCAAGUAUAAUAAAUAUAUAUACACUGAUAUAUUAUACUGUUAAUACUAUCAAAAUAAUAUUUUAUUCACAGCUGUAUAAUAGUAUUAUUUUUCUUUAUUCCCGAACAUCUAUGAACUUGAAUCUGAAACGUGGGGGUUAUUUGGAGUUGUUUAAACUUACUGUGAAGUCAUGAACAAAAAUUGUCAUAGAAACUCCGAUAAGGCGGAGAUUGGAUUCUUCGUUCUUGUAAGUGGUGGUUCAAAUUGAUUGCUAGGUAAUGUUCCUAUGCUUGUAAGAAGCUCAUGAUUCAAAUCUGAGCUGAUUUGGUGAAAGUUAUUGUACCGAUUUUAAAAGUCAUAACUGGGGAAAUGGACAAAGAAAACAACUUGAAAAGCUAAAGACCAUGUUUCGCUUUUGUCUCCCUGAAGCAGUGCAUUGAGCUGAGCUGAACAUUGAAAUCGAAAAUUGGCUGGAUGAAAGUAAUCGUUUAGACAAACUGUCAGCAGCUUGCUCUGUGAAAAGUUUCAUAUCCCUGAACUAAUUCAAAUGUCUCCAUGAUUCAGGUUCGUCUUAGUUUGAAUUCAGGAAUCUCUUCGAGGAAUUGAGUUUGCUUUUCUGAUCUGAGAACUACUGUUUAUCUUUGAUUUAUGGAUUGAUUGGAGAGAUUCAGUAUUGGAGUUGCAUUCUAUAUGAAAUACCAAGCACCUCUGCUGCUGUUGGUCUGUCGACAAACGAAUCAGGUGGUUUUACAUUUUGGAAUGACUCAGUAGGUGCUUAAAUUUGAAAAGUUUCGAAGGUAUUGGGGCUGUGCUAAAAUUUGUUUUGUUUCACUUACAUGUGUGAUUUUGUUCAAACGGUGUUAAAAAUUAUGUAAGGAAUGGAGUAAUUAUCCAGGAGGUGCAUUUCAACAUAUUCCUCUAUGUUAGCUUAACGAGUGAAUGCAACACAUUCCAUCCAAACAAGCUUUAAAUAGGCCAAGAGCUUUUCAACAGACAAAUAUUAAAAGCUUAUAACUAAGAAUUGGUGGGGGUUUCCCUAAAGAGAGACCCUUCCAAAAAUUGGCGUAUGCCACUUGUUGCAACAAGCACACGGUAUUCUUUAGUAAAAGGCGAAAGAAUAAUUCGCUAUGUGCUCAAUGCGUGGCUGCGUGAGUUGGCAAGGUGGCUGGAGCCAACAUUAAAUAUGGGGCAAAGCUGUUUGCUCUGCAGCUUGCAUCCGAUGUGGGAUAAAUUCUACAAUCAAACAAUCAUCAACUGGUUGGUGAGACUAAAACAUUUUCUCAUUUAUUUGCCAUUGAGAAUAGGUGAAGGAAAAAAUGGGUAAGGAGAUUACAACAUUCAGAAUCUAAAUUUCAUCAAUAAAGUAAAAGUUCAAAUAGUUAAUGAACUACUAAAAUUUCCAUAUUAUUCGUCAUUUCCACUACUCAAAUGGCAACAUUUCAACUAACAGUAUGUUUCGGAUGGAAAAAACAAGUGUACUAACACUUGUUAUAAUCUAGUAGGAAGAAUAUUCAUUAUUUUACCUAUAUAUAUGUAUGCUUCUUUGUAUGUUAUAACGUAGAGAGGAAAAAAAAACAAUAACACACACUUUAUUUAAAUCAUUCUUCUUUUCCAUUUCAUUUACUUCUCCAUUACUAUUAUACAAUCCUUAUUAUUAGUUAUAUUAUUUUUCAAAUUAACUUGUUGGUAUUUGUAUUAAUAGUUUUGUUGAUUCCUGUAUUCUCUAAAUAUUUAGAGAAGUGCUUGUUUAAUUCUGGGCAAACAUUUCACGCUGCUAAAAUAGUUUUUUAGGAUAGUGCCCAGCACGACUCAAGUAUAAUAAAUAUAUAUACACUGAUAUAUUAUACUGUUAAUACUAUGAAAAUAAUAUUUUAUUCACAGCUGUAUAAUAGUAUUAUUUUUCUUUAUUCCCGAACAUCUAUGAACUUGAAUCUGAAACGUGGGGGUUAUUUGGAGUUGUUUAAACUUACUGUGAAGUCAUGAACAAAAAUUGUCAUAGAAACUCCGAUAAGGCGGAGAUUGGAUUCUUCGUUCUUGUAAGUGGUGGUUCAAAUUGAUUGCUAGGUAAUGUUCCUAUGCUUGUAAGAAGCUCAUGAUUCAAAUCUGAGCUGAUUUGGUGAAAGUUAUUGUACCGAUUUUAAAAGUCAUAACUGGGGAAAUGGACAAAGAAAACAACUUGAAAAGCUAAAGACCAUGUUUCGCUUUUGUCUCCCUGAAGCAGUGCAUUGAGCUGAGCUGAACAUUGAAAUCGAAAAUUGGCUGGAUGAAAGUAAUCGUUUAGACAAACUGUCAGCAGCUUGCUCUGUGAAAAGUUUCAUAUCCCUGAACUAAUUCAAAUGUCUCCAUGAUUCAGGUUCGUCUUAGUUUGAAUUCAGGAAUCUCUUCGAGGAAUUGAGUUUGCUUUUCUGAUCUGAGAACUACUGUUUAUCUUUGAUUUAUGGAUUGAUUGGAGAGAUUCAGUAUUGGAGUUGCAUUCUAUAUGAAAUACCAAGCACCUCUGCUGCUGUUGGUCUGUCGACAAACGAAUCAGGUGGUUUUACAUUUUGGAAUGACUCAGUAG